rnacentral:lncRNA from 1 species
UGAGGCGGGAUCACGGGAAGGAUUGGCAGCGGGAGAAAGAAGAUAAACAGUGAGAUUUAUAAUAUAUAUAUAUUAUUUUUUAUUUAUUUAUUUAUUUAUUUAUUUUACACUGUUCAUAUGAACAGUGUUUUCACGGGACACUGUUCAUAUGAACAGUGAAUCCAGUAAUUCUUCCCGAAAUUAUUUUUAUUUAUUUUAUUAUUUUUUUUGUUUUAAAAUUAUAAAUUUUAUAUGAAGGCACGCAAGGAAUUGGUUAGGAAUUGACUUUGGAUUUGAGGUGGGUCAUGAUCGUUGAUUUGCUUGAACUUACUCUCGAGCCCAAUGUCGUUUAAAUUUAAUUUUUGCUAAACUGCUUCAGACUGGACUCAACAGGGCUAAAAACAGGAUCGUGACUUAAUAAGAGGGUUAAUCAAAUAUUUUCCUAUACAAUUAUAACUUUUAAUCUAAUCAAGACCAAAGCCCAUUUAAUUAUAACCUUAGCCGGGUCAACACAAUCUCCUUAUAUGUUUUUCUAUAGUUUUCAUUAAAGAUUGCAAUCAAGAGAGAGACAAGUUCAAAAUCUGGUUUAAGAAAAGAAUUAUUUACCUCUUACCAUAAUUUAAAUUUAAUUCAAUGUUUAUUCAAUUUCAUGGUAAAAUAUGUAUUUAUCAGUUUAAAAACAUUGAUAAGUGCUAUAGAAAGAUAAAUUAUUAAGCACUUAUCA